CAACCCCCCGCCCUUUGUUCUCCCAGACCUGCCUGGCAAACCUUUCCUCGAAUCGCCCUCUCAGUCCCAGCCGGCCAGGGGGGUCUUCCUCCCCCGGACCCCCAUCCUGAGCACCGGGAGCCUUCAGCCCCCGCCCGCCCUCCGGCCCAAGCCCCUGUUAGUGAUGGGGAAACCUCCCGAGACCCUCACAGUUCCUUGCAGCCACCUGUGAGGGAGGAAAUAUUCUCAUUCCCACACUGAGGACGAAGAAACCUAGUCCCAGGAGAACCAUGGACCUGCCAUGUGCUUGCCAGGCAACCAAAUCUCCAGGAAACCACAGGCAGCAGGGUGAGAUGUCACAGAGGCAUUGCUAAAUGCCUCCCGGGUCCUGCCACUGAGCUCAAGAACGGCUGAAGAGGGCCUGGGAGGAAAUCCCCAUGGCCCCCACUAAGUGUGUGUUCUCCCGUGGCCAAGCUCACUGCCUGCACAGAACAGUGAACAUACACUGAGAAGAGACGGAAUAGAAGAAGAGAAGGACGCAGAGAGGCAGAGGAGGAGGGAAGACGAGGAUGCCGGUGGAGAAGGGGAGCAGAGGACAGUACCCCCCCCCCGUGUUCAGAAGAAGGAGUAAUAAAUGCCAGGGCAGUGCAGCAGAAGGACCAAGCCUGGUGACCUGGGUCCCUUAGUCUCACUCCCGGGCAGCUAUGAGACUUCACUGGAAGCUAUCAAGACUCAUCUAGAGAUGAAUGCAGGUGCAUGGGCUCAAAGCAUAGUCAGGGCAUCUAAAGCCACAGUUCUAACACGGGCCUACGGCAGAAUGAAGCCAGAAGCCAGCACCGGCUCUGAGCGUAGCUGGCACUUUUGUCUUCUCCUUGUUUUUCUUUUUCUUUCUGUGAUGGGGGAGGGGUCCCUCAUUGUGUUGAAAGCCUUGGCUCAAGCAAUCCUCUUGCCUCAGCCUCCUAAGCAGCUGGGAUCAUUGGUGUGCACCUAGUUCUAGUUGUUGUCUUUCUAAAUCAUCUUUAAGAAGAAAUAAACACAGUGGAGGAGGAGCAGAGAGGCGUGACCACCACCCCCUCAAUGUGAUGACCAAGGUCUCCUAUCCGGUCCCUCUUCAUCUCGCCGGGAACAUCUGCACUCCGUGCCACCAUCACCCUGGGGCCUCCAUUAUGAAAGCUGGACUUCUGCUUUGUCCUGCACAGCGUGACAGCCAGAACUGCUCAUCGAGAGUAAAAGCCAGAAAAAAAUAAACAAACAGCUCCGCACCCUG